CAAAAUAAUCGCAAUGCAUUAAUAAAUAUUCAUAUAUAAUUUUCUUGAUAUUGUCCUUAACACAGUUGUCAAUUAAUUAAUAUAUAAUCACAACCUAAAGCCUGUACAAUAACUCUCCCAUUUCUAACCAAACCUCUGUUAGAGCAGAACAUAUAUCUCGAUACUCGGAACAAGAAAAUGAUCCCUAAAGUGUUCCUCCUACUCGUAAUUUUGACUACUCUCCAGGAUGUCUCGUGCAGCUGCAAAUUUGCUCUCGGCGAAAAAAUCGUAAUGGGCUACCAAUGCAAAGUGCCAGUUGCGAAACUAGUUUUCCAAACAGAUGGAAACUUUAUCAUUUACGAUAACCGGGGAAAGGCCACUUGGUCGGCAAAGAGUUUUGAAAAUGCUGUGUUGCAGGAAGAUGGAAACUUUGUAAUUUAUGAUGUUGACGGGAAUGCAAUAUUUGCGUCAGGUACGGCCGGAAAGGGACAGACCAUGGAGUUUCGGGACAAUGGUAAUCUCGUGAUUCUUGAUGCUGAAGGAAAUUCGGUUUGGAACUCGUGGAGUUUGAGUAAUUUCUGAGAAUUUUCUAACAAAUGGUAACAAAUUGAUACUUUAUGAAAGGACAUUUGUAUGACAAUUAUGUAAAAUGCAUAAAGUGACCUACUACUUCUAAAUUAAAAA